rnacentral:rRNA from 1 species
AUUGAACGCUGGCGGCAGGCUUAACACAUGCAAGUCGAGCGGGGUGAUGGUGCUUGCACUAUCACUUAGCGGCGGACGGGCGAGUAAUGCUUAGGAAUCUGCCUAUUAGUGGGGGACAACAUCUCGAAAGGGAUGCUAAUACCGCAUACGUCCUACGGGAGAAAGCAGGGGAUCACUUGUGACCUUGCGCUAAUAGAUGAACCUAAGUCGGAUUAGCUAGUUGGUGGGGUAAAGGCCUACCAAGGCGACGAUCUGUAGCGGGUCUGAGAGGAUGAUCCGCCACACUGGGACUGAAACACGGCCCAGACUCCUACGGGAGGCAGCAGUGGGGAAUAUUGGACAAUGGGGGGAACCCUGAUCCAGCCAUGCCGCGUGUGUGAAGAAGGCCUUAUGGUUGUAAAGCACUUUAGGCGAGGAGGAGGCUUACCUAGUUAAUACCUGGGAUAAGUGGACGUUACUCGCAGAAUAAGCACCGGCUAACUCUGUGCCAGCCGCCGCCGUAA